UAGCUCAGCCUGGUUAGAGCGUCAGGUUGUGGCCCUGAAGGCCGGGGGUUCAAGUCCCC
rnacentral:tRNA from 1 species